GCUCUGGUGGUGCAAUAGUAAGCACUCAGCUGCUAACUAAAAGGUUAGUGGUUAGAACCCACCCAGGGCU
rnacentral:tRNA from 1 species